GCUACUCUGAGUACAAUUUUUGGGUAGUUACACAUUUUAUUUGAUCUCCCCCUAUAGGACGUGAGGGAGAACAGCAGCCAGAAAAGCCCAGUUCCUGAUGACUACUAGGAAAUCUGGUUCAACAUGGCUGAAAAUAAAAGAAAGUAGGGUUUGUGUUUUCCAAAAAUAUAACCAACAUUUACAAAAAGAAAAAAGAAAGAGUCAAAGACAAGUUUAUUUAACACCAUACUUACAGAAUUCACAUUUUUUGUACAGUUAACAUAUGUUAUAAAAACAAAGCUACAGUUUAUGCCUCGUGUUAGCCUUCAAUUUUAUAUUUGUUUUUCUACAACAAAGGAUAACAAACUAACUCUAAAUAGAAUGCUUACAGAAUGACUUCUGUAAGCAUUUAUUAAAUGAGAUAAAAGAAGAUAUAAUAUAAAAGAACAUUAUGAUGUUUACUUUAUCAAUCCUAUAUGUUGUCAAUAUUUCUUUAAAUUUAAAUAGUUUAAAAAUGGCACAUUGCUUUUAAAAAAUGACUUUCAUCCCUACUUUUUCUGUCAGGGAACAAACACACCAAGCCCAGCGCUGAACUUGCUCUGCGUCUCCUGAGUCCUUAAUUUCACUUUUAGGCAUGAUUGCAGGUAAAGAUGGUGACUUUUCUUCCUUCUUCUUCUUCUUCUUCUUCUUCUUCUUAAUGCUUCUGUAUUUGUGAGGAGGAUCAAAGAACUGUUUGAUAUUCUCAGUUAUUUUUCGUUAAGACAGGGUGCUUACGAAGCACAGAUGGGGCUUCAUAAGG